GAUCAAAGCAAGUUCGAUAUAACACGGUUUCACCUAUAACGCGAGGCAGGACACUUUAGUAGAAUACAUUAAUACAGAAUAUGAACCACCAGGAUCUGAAGAGGAAUUUGUUGAUAAAUACCACAAGGUCAAGGAUGAAGCUACAAAAAAGAGGAAGAUAUCAAAGAAGAAUAAAUAAGGAAUUUAUGCAUGUGCAAGUACUUCAAAUUCAGUUAAGCCCACAAGAAGUAUUUUGGUUGCUUGAAAUAUACUGAAGAGAUUUUUAUUUUCAAACUGAAGAAGGAAUUUAGUUCAAGCAGCUGUUUUUAAAUCUUUUAAGUCUUCAAUUCUAAUAUACUCAGACUGUUUUUAAAGGGGAAAAGUAACUUAUUGUAUUGAACAUUUUAUAAAUAAAAGGUGUUAUGAAAAAAUAAAUUUGUCCACAAAAUACA